CAAAGAUAUACAAGCUUUAUAUAAGCCAAAAAAAAACCAACAAGUGGAACUUUUCAGGAGGGAGAACCUAACUGGUGCAAAUGAAAAGACCAUUUUAAACACUAUUCUUGACGAUGCUGGGAUUCAGAGGCCAUUGUCAAGUUUUCGAUGAGGACCAAGAUUAGUUCCCAAGUCAGCCUCCAGAACAUGAAACAGACCUAGCUUUUAUACAUUCAGUAAUGUGAUAUAUAUAUAUAUAUAUAUAUAUAUAUAUAUAUAUAUAUGGGAUUCCCUUCAUAAGGGAUUGUCCAAUUUUUAAUGUGAUAAUAUGUACAAAGAGUUAGUGAUGAAUAUUUUAUUCAUAUUUUUGUGCCAAACUUUAUAAAUGAUUGAUUGUUUGAUGUUUUCCGCCACGCUCAACAAUUUUUCAGUUAUCUGGUGGCACCCAGUUUUUAUUGGUGGAAGAGAGAACCCAGAUACAAUGUACCUUGGAAGAGACCACCGACCUUCCGAAAGUAAACUGGGAAACUUUCUCACUUACCGGCGUGAGCGGGAUUCGAACCCGCGCCGACAGAGGUGAGAGGCCAUGUGAUUUGGAGCGCGAUGCUCUAACCACUGGGCCACCUUUAUAAAUGAAAUUAAUAUACCAAUAAUAGUCGCUGUUUAUAAUCGGUAAUGUCUUAUUAUCCCCAUCUUUUUUGUAACUUUUCCAUAACUUUUGUCGGGUAUAACUUUCUUGUAACUUUUCCAUAACUUUUGUCGGGUAUAACUUUUUUGUAACUUUUCCAUAACUUUUGUCGGGUAUAACUUUUAUGUAACUUUCUCCAUAACUUUUGUUGGGUAUAACUUUUUUGUAACUUUUCCAUAACUUUUGUCGGGUAUAACUUUUUUGUAACUUUUCCAUAACUUUUGUCAGGUAUAACUUUUUUGUAACUUUUCCAUAAAUUUUGUCAGGUAUAACUUUUUUGUAACUUUUCCACAAUUUUUGUUGGGUAUAACUUUUUUGUAACUUUUCCAUAACUUAAGUAUAACUUUUUGAUAACUUUUGUGAAGUAUAACUUUUUUGAAGUAUAACUUUUUGAUAACUUUUAUGCACUUGUUGUAUUCAUGUUGAAAUAAAAGAUGAUAACUUA